GUUGAACGCUGGCGGCAGGCCUAACACAUGCAAGUCGAGCGGAUGAAGGGAGCUUGCUCCUGGAUUCAGCGGCGGACGGGUGAGUAAUGCCUAGGAAUCUGCCUGGUAGUGGGGGAUAACGUCCGGAAACGGGCGCUAAUACCGCAUACGUCCUGAGGGAGAAAGUGGGGGAUCUUCGGACCCCACGCUAUCAGAUGAGCCUAGGUCGGAUUAGCUAGUUGGUGGGGUAAAGGCCUACCAAGGCGACGAUCCGUAACUGGUCUGAGAGGAUGAUCAGUCACACUGGAACUGAGACACGGUCCAGACUCCUACGGGAGGCAGCAGUGGGGAAUAUUGGACAAUGGGCGAAAGCCUGAUCCAGCCAUGCCGCGUGUGUGAAGAAGGUCUUCGGAUUGUAAAGCACUUUAAGUUGGGAGGAAGGGCAGUAAGUUAAUACCUUGCUGUUUUGACGUUACCAACAGAAUAAGCACCGGCUAACUUCGUG
rnacentral:rRNA from 1 species